UCCCCUGACACCUCCCCUUCCCGGGACCGGACCCCCUCCGCUACCCCGGCGUCCCCCUGGACUCCAGGGGCCCCACUGCUGCCUGCCCAGUGCGACUGCGCCCGAGCCUGGACUUUCAGGGACGCCCUCUCCCCCGCCUUGCAGAGACUUUCUGUAGCUCCUCCGCCCCCGGUCCCGCAGCUCCGACGUGGCUGCUGCGGGGGGAGGGGACCUGGGGAGAGUUGGGGGGUCGGCAUAAAGGGCCGGAGGCAGCGCGGGCGGAGACCCGAGAUGUGGCGCGUCCACUCCGCCGGCCUCAGCUCCAGCCACAUGGUUAAACUGCCAACUUAGAGGAGAGAAGCUGGGAGGGGGCUGCAGAGAACAUCACCCAGAAGAGAUCAUGAUGCUGCUGUGGGUCACAAAUGACCUUAAAGGGAAACCUUGCUGUUGGUGAUCCUUACAAUGCGAUGAGAUUAUAUUAAUAUCAUGAAAAACUUCAGCCCAGAAGUUGUGACUCUAGACAUUUACAUCGUAACUGGAUUUUCCUACCAAUGAGGCGGGAACACGUUACAAUCACCAUCAACAUAUGUUCUCUUUUCCCCCCUGUUUUCCUUCUUUUAGAUCCAUGGCAUUUAAGAACUGGAACAACUGCUGGAUCAUCUGAUCAACCCCAUCAGUUUUUUUUCUUAAAAUGGCCAAACAUUGAUAAAAAGAUAUCUGUUUGAGCAUCACUAAAAUUGCACAAUGCUGCUUUUUGUUCACCAAUUUUAAGUAUUUGGAAGACCCAUGAAUAAGGUUGCAGGUGACAUUGGGAUGCUCCCCAGAAUUUUUACAGAUGAAGAAUCACCGAGAAAGGAGAGUUCAGGGAGUCAUCAGCUCCUACUCACAUCCCUUGAGCUUCCCCAGAAACUCUUUAGGUUUUUUUUAACCCAAGAAACGCUCACUCCCCUUUUAGUGUAGCAGCCCACUCCCCUGGCAGAGGUAAGCAGACCAGUUUUAUUCCAAAAAAGCAGCCCAGGAACUAGGAUAGAAUGGAAAAAAUAGUUAUGACACAUCUGAGCAUGGGCAUGGGACAAAGUGCAAUUUCCUGGACCUUAAAUGGAAGGACCAGGUCAACCACGUGGGCACCAGCGCUCUGCCAGUCUGUGCACUGGACAUUCCAUUGUGUCCCCUUCUCUGCAGUCUCAGUUUCCACCCAAGUCCAUCCAGGGCCUGCUUCAAGCUUCCCACGUCUGGUCAGGUGAACAUGCUUUGCCACUGCUGGUUGUUCCGUGCAGGUUAGCACAGAGUAACCUGGCCCUCGCCCCAUCCAGGUGAGCUCUGCUCACCAGUGAGCUCUCUUGAUCUCACUUCACAGGUGAAAACCACCUUCCCAGACGUCACAGCCACGUUCAAGGGAACAGCCUGCUUAAAAUCUAUCUACUGCAGACCUCAGCAAGAACUCAAGGAUACAACGAUCAGGGCAUAUAUUCAAUAAGAAAUGCUCACUUAUUUUUUACUUAGAAAAGCUUAGUAAUUAAUCUCACUUUCAGUAAGGGUCUAUUAAUAAAAGAUGUGUUUUACCUCAGCUAUGUAUCCAGAAGACCAAAGUAUUCUAGAAAUCUGAAGUAUUUUUCCUGGUGUUUAUGGUUAAAUGUCUAGAUAUAUUUUUCUAGCAACCCACUUUCCUUAAAAUAAAAUCGGUAUGCUCAAAAUA